GGACCCGCACAAGCGGUGGAGCAUGUGGUUUAAUUCGAAGCAACGCGAAGAACCUUACCAGGCCUUGACAUCCCCCUGAAUAUACCCCAACCGGUAUAGCCCUCGGGCAGGGGAGACAGGUGGUGCAUGGUUGUCGUCAGCUCGUGUCGUGAGAUGUUGGGUCAAGUCCCGCAACGAGCGCAACCCUUGUCCCCAGUAGCCAGCAGUUCGGCUGGGCACUCUGGGGAGACCGCCGGGGAUAACCCGGAGGAAGAUGGGGAUGACGUCAAAUCAUCAUGCCCCUUAUGGCCUGGGCUACACACGUGCUACAAUGGCGCGGCACAAAGCGAAGCCUACCCGCGAGGGGAAGCGAAUCGCAGAAAACGCGUCUCAGUUCGGACUGCAGGCUGCAACCCGCCUGCACGAAGCUGGAAUCGCUAGUAAUCGCGGAUCAGCACGCCGCGGUGAAUACGUUCCCGGGUCUU
rnacentral:rRNA from 1 species